AUGGAUGGAAAUGGUGUUGAAUUUGGAAUGAGACAUAGAAAAGAGAUAGGCGUAUUGUUCGUUUUCGAGAUAUCAGUUCACCAACUCGAUUCAACGUGUGCUCCCUUCAACCUAGAAAUCUUCCAGAAGAGUAACAAGAGUCCUAAGUUGUCCCUUAUUCAGAAAGACUUGCAGCACAGAGAACUUGAAGAAAAAAAAAUUCUUCCAGGCUCCCUUCUUCUUCUUCUCUCCUUCCAUGACCUCUCGGAACUGGAGAACCUUUCCUAGGUUCAGAUGAUGGAAGUUUUAAGAUACCUCCUUUCUCCACUAACUAUGAGCUCUACUUCUACUGCUGUAGAAGUGAGCUUGCAAUGUACGUGCGCACAGAAGGAAAGCAUUCAAGCUAUUUGCAAGUAAGCAUCUCUUUAGAAUUUGUCUGCAUAUAUUUUUUCACUGUAAGUGAUAUGAUUUUUUUUUCUUUCCUUGUUAAGAAACUAGGCACUCGUAUUAAGUGCCACAUAAAUAGCUAAUUGGGUGGAAUGAUCAGAAGAUUACAUAAACCUCUUCUCAGGAAGGAACCUCUGAGACAAGCCACAGAGGAAUGUGGGUCAAAUGUUUAAUCACCCUUUUCUGAGCAUAUAAAAUUAACAUUUCUUAAUGAACUCCAGAUUGGCAGUUUUCAGCUUUCCCUUUAAAUCACAAACCAAACCAUGAUCACAAAAUCGAUUCGAAGCUUAAGAUCCUUUCAGUCCACUUCCUCAUAUUACAGUUGAGAAACUAAAAUCGAAAGAGGUUAAAUGACUUACUCAAGGUCACAUAGUGAGAACCCAGAUCUUAUGCUGCCUCAUCUGGAUCUUCUGUCACUGCAUCACCUGUGAGGGGGAUGGACCUUCAGAAGAAGCUUUGGGCUAUGUUCUAGUACUUGUUUCUAGGAGUGGAACUUGGUAGAUCAAAAUGAAUUCUUGAAUAUACACAGUAUGUCCUAAAUUUAAUACUGAACCUACUUUGGUCCUCCUUAGAGUAGCUGUAACAGUUUAAAAUACUUUCCUUAUAUUGUGAUAUUUUUAUCCUAUAUCAAGUUUCAGAAUAUUUCUCCAUCUUUUUUUUUUAAGAUAUGUCAGGAGUAAGCCAAUAGAGUUCCCAUGAAGUUUCAGCAUUAUUAAAAUUACUCUUACAACUUGAAAUUUUAGAUCAGUUUUGUCAUAUAUUUUUUAUGUAAUUUAUCAAGUCCUAAAAUUAACUGAAAUUAAAUACAAAUGCUGUGUAUGAAUCUUUCUUUUUUCUCAAAAUAUAAAGACUUCUAAAGCAUAAUAUAUGGAACAGUUGAAGAUAUCUAUGAAAAAACAAAAAAAAGACAUUUAAGUAACAGUCAUAAAAUACCGAGAAAAUACUUUUUGGAAAACAUUCUAUAACUUUUACAGCUAUGGUGCUUUUAUUUUCCACAAUGCUCAAAUAAUGAGAUUUAAAUAGUAUUUUUAAAAACAGCUCUUUAGUUAACAGUCAAUUCAGAAUUGGGUUAAGGGAUGCUAUGCUGCAGAGUUAGUGUUUAAUCAUUCCUUUGGGCCAAUGGUGUCUUUCCCAUGUAGCUGUCACUGGUGUCUUCAGGAAUGAUUAGUUACAUAGUAAAGAGGUACCUUUAUCUAUUCCUACUCUCAGGACUGUCCUUUGACAACUCUGAGAUUUGUAACAACAACAAGCAUUAAAACUGUUUGUCUUGAAUGUCCAAGGUAAGAUGCCUAUAUUACUGCCAACAAAUUGUUAGUCAAUGAAAAUAUGCUUUGACUAUGGUUGAAGGCUACUUUUCUGCACAAUGAUUAUCAACUCCAUUGUUGACAUAAUUGCACUUCUAGAAAUAUAUAUUUUGAAAAUCAAGAUGUAGUCAAAUUUAUGAAAAAAUGUUUAUUGUAGCAUUAUCUAAAAUAAGCAACAAAUGAAAAAAAGUCCUUAGAAGUUAGAGAAUUGUCAAAUAAAUCAUGGCAUGUAGUUCGACUUUAUUACUUU
rnacentral:lncRNA from 1 species